GUGGGUAUGAAAGGUGGGUAGCCGGCCGAGUGCCCUCUGGAGACGAUGCUGCUGCUCCUGCUGGGUCUGGUGCUGAGCCUGGCCUUGGCCCAGAAGCUCUACCCCGAGGGAGAUUGUGGAGCAAGACUUCAACAUGACCAGGGCCGCAGGGUCCUGGUCCUCCAUCUCCUUGGCCUCUGACAACGUGAUGUGGAUCGGAGUCAAUGGGGACCUGCACCUCUUCAUUCGGACCAUCGAGCUGCUACUGAACAGCAGCCUCCUGUUUCAUUUCCGCUUCUGGAUGCAGGGGGAAUGUGUGUUCCGUGACUGUGGUCUGCGAGAAGACACCAAAGAGCAUGGAGUUCUCCACUGUCUGUGAGUGGGCCCGGCCCAGGCUGGCCGGGGCACUGGGCGCUGUGCUGAGUGUGGGAGACAGCGUGCAGAGUGCCUGGGGCUGCGGCCAUGGAGGGGGCUGUGGGGCCCAGCCGCGGGCCAUUGUGCAGUCUCCACUGAGCUGGCACCACCUGCCCAGACUCCUUUCCCACAGCACGCGUCCCAGGGCCUGGGGAAAGUGGGUCCUGGUGGGGCCCACGCUGAGCUGCGUUUCCACACAGACCGGGGGAAAACAAGGGUGCUCAUCUUGGAGACUGACUACUGGAUGUACAUCAUCUUCUACCUGAGGAGCGUCCGGUUCGCGCAUCGAGACCCAAGUGCUGGCGCUCUACGGUACUGACCCCUGGCUGCCAGGGACCCCAGACCCUGGCUUGGGCAGCGGCACUCUGCACAGCCCCAGACCUGGGCAGGGGCUCCCUGAGUCCUCACAGGACGGGCCUUGGCACCCCAGACCCUGCCUAUGACGCAGUCCCCCAGUCUGUCCUCAGGGCGCAUCCCAGUGCUCAGCGACCCCUUGCUGGACAGAUUUGAAAAGGCCUACAGGAAGUACGGGAUGGGUCCAAGAAACACCAUCAAUCUGGCCGAGAAAGGUGGGCUCCCAUGCUCCCGGGGCCUGCGGAAGCGGGGCUGGGGCCAGGCGUGGCCCCUCCAGCUCAUCUGGGAGCCUGGCCUCCCCAGAUCUCUGCCAGUACUAGUGGAAGAGGGGAGCUGGCCCAGCCUUAGGGUGAGUGGGCUCUGACGGGCGUGGGAUGGGCAUGGUGGGGUGGCGGGGGGGCCCCGGAUGGCGGUGGCUUGGUGUCAGAGGCCAGGGUCUCAGCUCAGAAGGGCCACAGGUGCAUUUCUCCAAGCCCAUCCCUCACCGGACUGCUGGGUUUUCCUGGAACACAGAGAGUGUGGUGGCUGGUGGAGUGCUGAACACUCCCAGGUCGGGUUUCCCGGGGCCUUGUGGGCUGCAGUCGGGGCAGCACAGGAUGUGAGCCGCAGGAGGGCGCUGUGCAGUGAAGACUUACUCUCUCGAAGCUCUGCAGUCUGCCUGUCCAGGACCCAGGUGUUGAGAGGCCGAACCCCCCAGGGCUCCAGGGUCCUCCUGGCUCAUCCAGCUGCUGGUGGCUCCAGGUGGCCCAUGGCUCAGCCUGGCUCACCCGAACCUCUGCCUCUGUGUACACGCGGCCCCAACUUCCUGUGGCUGCUCUUCCACCUCCCUGUAAUGAUGCUGUCUUAGCUCUGGGGCCCAGAAGCGGAGGCCUCUCACCCAGCACCCUGACUCUAGCACAUCUGUAGGAGCCUUUUCCAAAUAAACCUCAUCCUUAGGUCCAGG
rnacentral:lncRNA from 1 species